UACGGAGGAUCCAAGCGUUAUCCGGAAUCAUUGGGUUUAAAGGGUCCGUAGGCGGUUUGGUAAGUCAGUGGUGAAAGCCCAUCGCUCAACGGUGGAACGGCCAUUGAUACUGCCAGACUUGAAUUAUUAGGAAGUAACUAGAAUAUGUAGUGUAGCGGUGAAAUGCUUAGAGAUUACAUGGAAUACCAAUUGCGAAGGCAGGUUACUACUAAUGAUUGACGCUGAUGGACGAAAGCGUGGGGAGCAAACAGG
rnacentral:rRNA from 1 species